UCGUCUACCCCCUUCCCUCGUCUAUCUCGCUCCCGCUCCGCUCCGCCGUAGCUAGCUGCUGCGGGUUUGCCACCAUGGUCAGUGCCUGCUCCCUGCAACGCAGACCACAUGGAGCCCCCAGCCCCCACGUGCGUGUGCGUUCUUGCCCCUGGCCGCGGCUCCCCGACACCUGCGCCGAAGCCCAGCACCGAGCCCCGACCAGGCCAGUCCCACCCGUCCCCUUGCGUCGUUGCGUUUGAAGAAUGGAGUGGAGGCACAUGGAAGGUUGAAGAGAGAACAACCAAUAAAGCAGUAUGCGACUUCCAGAUGUAGUAGAAGAUCCCUGGCCUCAGGAAGAUACAUCGAACCUCCAGCCCCAUUCGUAGUUCGUGCGUGCGCAGCAGACGAGGGAGAAGAGAAUUGUGAAGGAGUGAGCAGUUGGUGGAGAGAAAGGAGAUGCUAGCCACACCAGAUCUCACAUCUAAAGAUUUUCUGUGGCUGCACCUCGUGUGACCCUUUUUGUGGUAAGUGGUCGGUCGAUAGGAUUGCACCACGUCGUCGUUAAUCUGCGAUUAAUGAGUAUGUAUUAACUUUGGCAUUAGAUAUUUGAUUCAUUCCGUUCCAGUUAUAUUAACCGUGUAAUGAUCUUGUACGCACGUUAAAAUUAUUAUGUUGUUACCACA